CUCUCCCCUCACGCCGGCUGCGCCCACGGCCUUCUCGCGCUUCACCGUGUCGCCCGCGCCCGUGUCCCGCUUCUCCAUCACGCACGUGUCGGACGCGGACGCCCAGUCCGUGGGAGGCCCUGCAGCCAGUGCCGGGGCUGGCUGCCCUGAGGCUUGAGACCUGAGCAGCUGCCCUCAUGAAUGCUGGCGUCACUGAAGGCCCUGCCCAGGCAGCAGCAAGGAUGGUGAAGGGGAAUGGGACUCCAGUGCCAUAGUGCCCCCUGCAGCAUUCUGGAGAAGCCGGUGGACAGAAAACUGGCCGUGCAAGGACAUUCGCGCUGCCCUGGGGGCAGAAUGUGACUGGACCCGGGUUUGCUGUCGGCCUGGGGAUGCUUAUGGCGCGAUGGAUGUCUCCACAUACAUGCACGCUCCAGAGGGGCCCACUCCCUGGGCCUAGGUGGCCCACCCUGCGGCCACCCUUCUGCCUGGCUGCUGCUGUUGGACUGCUUGGCCUCAGGCCUGGGGACCCACCCUUGGCCACGGGCCUGCAUGCCUUGCCUGGCUGGCUUCCUUCCUGUGUUCACAGGACAUUUGUGUCCUUGGCCAGGCAAGGCCUGGCCCCAGAUGAGGUCAGGCCUUCAAAUCUUCCUGCACCCUUCCACCUUGGUCUGGGUUUGCUUGGUGCAAGAAGAGACCCCUGGGCUCAGUGUCUCCAAUGCCCUUAUCUCCGAGUGACUGUUUCCCUUCACUGCCUCUGCCCACAAGGCCCUCCCCACAGGGUCUGGGAUGCUCCCUCUUGGGUCCUCCUGAGCUGCAAAAGGCAGCCAGAAGCACCAAGAGGGGCUUCCAGGCCUCACCCCACUACUGGCCCUGUUCUAGAGGUGCCCUCGGCAGGGUGGUACAGGUAGCUCCCCCCCUUGGGAUAGUGCCUGGCCCCGGGCCCCAGCAGUCAAGGGAUAGUGGGGGCUUCUGCCACAGAGAAAUGGGGAAGAGGCGGGGCCGGGGUACGCAGGCAGCACAGGGAAGUAUUUUUGUAACCAAGGUUGCUGGAAUGAAUGGAAAUGGGGUGAUUUUAAGUUAUUGUUGCCAAAGAGAAAGUUUAUUGUUGCUUUGGGGGUGGGGAAGGGACAUUUUUUAGUUUGUGUGUGUGUGUGGUUUUUUUGUUUUUAAUUAGUUUGAGGCUUCAGAAGCUGGUGCAAUGAUUUUCUUGUUCUUUUUUGUUUUUUUAAGAGAAACCACGCUAAGAAAAAAA